rnacentral:sRNA from 1 species
AACUAGCCCCGAUAGUAGUGAAAAUCCUUUUGUUUUUUUGUUUUUAAAAAAACAAAAGAUUGUAGCGGAUAGCGGGAGGGGAU